rnacentral:rRNA from 1 species
GAUGGACGCUGGCGGCGUGCCUAAUACAUGCAAGUCGAGCGAAUGGAUUAAGAGCUUGCUCUUAUGAAGUUAGCGGCGGACGGGUGAGUAACACGUGGGUAACCUGCCCAUAAGACUGGGAUAACUCCGGGAAACCGGGGCUAAUACCGGAUAACAUUUUGAACCGCAUGGUUCGAAAUUGAAAGGCGGCUUCGGCUGUCACUUAUGGAUGGACCCGCGUCGCAUUAGCUAGUUGGUGAGGUAACGGCUCACCAAGGCAACGAUGCGUAGCCGACCUGAGCGGGUGAUCGGCCACACUGGGACUGAGACACGGCCCAGACUCCUACGGGAGGCAGCAGUAGGGAAUCUGCCGCAAUGGACGAAAGUCUGACGGAGCAACGCCGCGUGAGUGAUGAAGGCUUUCGGGUCGUAAAACUCUGUUGUUAGGGAAGAACAAGUGCUAGUUGAAUAAGCUGGCACCUUGACGGUACCUAACCAGAAAGCCACGGCUAACUACGUGCCAGCCGCCGCAGUAA